rnacentral:lncRNA from 1 species
ACGUAAAUACUCCCAACUUUGGACACCUGGCAUCAGUGCUUGGUGGCCCAAGUUUGGGCACCACAGCAGGUGGGGAGGAAGGGUCCAGCCUCAAAGGGGGCACCCAUGCCCUCUGUAUGGGGCAGGCUUGGCGAACGGGACUUGGGCUUCGAGGGCACCUGUCAAAGGUGUGCAGAGUUGGGAAGGGCCUGAUCAGGUCUUCAAGGGGACUGGAUGCCUGCUGUUCCCUGCAGCCAGGACUCAGCCCCCAGUGAGGUCCUGGCAGUCCUCCCUGGCUGGCGUUAGGUCCAGGGCUUUCCUCUAGGGAUGCUCCCACCCUGGCAGGCCUUUGGGUACAGCUGAGGAGGGGGCCCCUUGCUUCAUUGAAUUCAGCUGUUGUUAGGAGAGAGGAAAACUGAGCUGGACCUCUGGGGCAUGGGGCUGGAGGUGGCAGGGGAGGAGUGGACCCAACCAACCUACUGCUGUGGGAUUUCUGUCCCUUUCCAGGCUGCAGUAGAUGGUCCCAUGGACAAGAAGGCAGAGUAAGGGCCUCCUUCCUCCCCUGCCUGCAGCUGGCUUCCACCUGGCACGUGCCUGCUGCUUCCUGAGAGCCCAGCCUCUUCCUCCGAUGACACCGGGCUGCCGCCACCCCUUUUCUCAAUCGCACAACCAGCCUUUCACACGCACCCCCUCACGCAAGCCGCCCUCGCCAGGCCCCCUUGCCAGACCCAGUGAGCAUUCUGCAGGUCACUGUCCUUCACCAGCAGCAGCAGCACUGGACAGAUGGAGCCAGUCACUGCUCCUCCCUGACCUGUGAAGGGACCCCACCAGCUCUCAGGCAUCCUCCCCCAUCGCUGCUGCGUCUCCCCUCUGCCCCUCUCAUUGUGUCUCUGGACUUGUGGCGUCCCUGUGAGCUCACCCAGGCUCAAGGCUUUCAGUGUCAUCUCUAUGUGGUAAGAACUUGCCAAGUUCCAUCUCCAGUACUUUCUGGAACUUCUGUGUCCACCUGCCAACUAGACAUCUCC